rnacentral:misc_RNA from 1 species
AAUUGCGAAAAGUAAUGUGACCUGCACUCUUUGAGAAGCAUUUUACUCUUUGAACGCACCUUGCACGCACUUGGGCGACCGAGUGCGAGGUCCUGUUUGAGCAUUUUGACGAAUCUUGUGGUAGUCGUGCAAACGACUGCGCAGACCUGGACCCUUUAGCAUUUGCUAAGGAGUCUGAAAAGCAGACAAUGACGUCCGAACGACUCUAGGGCGUGUGGCAGUGUGACAAAAGAUCACUACCACUCAUAUUGUCUUCUUUGCUGGUGGUUCGACAAGUCGAACCUUCUUUACUGGUGGUUCGACAAGUCGAACCUUCAUAUAGUGAAGAAACGGUGCGAAUCCGAUUCGCACCACUAGAAAAAAAUCUCAAAUCAGGAUAGAGGACCCGCUGAACUUAA